GAUGAACGCUGGCGGCGUGCUUAACACAUGCAAGUCGAACGAAGCACUCUAUUUGAUUUUCUUCGGAAAUGAAGAUUUUGUGACUGAGUGGCGGACGGGUGAGUAACGCGUGGGUAACCUGCCUCAUACAGGGGGAUAACAGUUGGAAACGACUGCUAAUACCGCAUAAGCGCACGGGAUCGCAUGAUCCGGUGUGAAAAACUCCGGUGGUAUGAGAUGGACCCGCGUCUGAUUAGCCAGUUGGCAGGGUAACGGCCUACCAAAGCGACGAUCAGUAGCCGACCUGGGAGGGUGACCGGCCACAUUGGGACUGAGACACGGCCCAAACUCCUACGGGAGGCAGCAGUGGGGAAUAUUGCACAAUGGGGGAAACCCUGAUGCAGCGACGCCGCGUGAGCGAAGAAGUAUUUCGGUAUGUAAAGCUCUAUCAGCAGGGAAGAAGAAUGACGGUACCUGACUAAGAAGCAC
rnacentral:rRNA from 1 species